CUUGAACUCAUCAUGUAGGCCAGGAUGGCCACGAACUCAUGGCAAUCCUCCUGCCUCAGCUUCCCAAGUGUUGGGACUACAGGAUAGGUCUGAGUGUGGAUAAUGGGAAAACCCACCCUGGAUAUGAGCGGCACCAUCCAACAGGAUUACACCCUGGAUGAGAUAAAAGUGAAAGGAAAGCUCACUGCUGGCUGCUUCCUGCCUGCCCUGCCAUGGACUAUUUCUCCCUUUGCCAUGCUACUUGCCUUGGAGCUGGCCAGCUAUGGACUGAAACCUCUACAAACUGUUAGCUGAAAUAAACCUUUUUCUCUUUUAACUUUGGGUGUCAGGUAUUUUAUCUCAGCAAUCAGAAAAGUAGCCAAGACAUUCAUUUUAUAUUAUGGAAAACACUCCUUCAAAUUCUUAGCAGCCAUACUUAAAAAGACUGUCAAACUAAUUAUUGCAGCUAAUCUUUUCUAACAGGUGUUAAACACCUUUUAAAUAGCAAUUAUUAAGCACUCAUAAGUGCAUGACACUCUACAAGGUGAGUCAAAAUAGUUAAUGCACUCCCUCCCACCUCUCUGUGUGUAUGUGUAUAUGUGUGUGUGUGUGUCUAAUUAUUUUUCUUUCAAUGCUAGGGACUGAACAUAGCCAGGACCUUGUGCAUGUUAGGCAACCACUCUAUCAUUGAGUCUCACUCCCAACCCAUAGUUUCUAUUUGCAGGGGGGGGGGGUGUACCGGGGCUCGAACUCAGGUCCUUGCGCUUGCGCAGCAGGCGGUGAAACCACUGGGCUAAAUCCCCGGCCCCUUUCUAUAAUUUAAAUACAUUGGUGACAAGUGAUUUCAAGGGUUUGGGUUCUUUAUUAUUAGAGAAUGUAUAGUACAUUGAAUAUCCUGGGAAAAAAUUUGUAAUUCCUGUAAAACUUU